rnacentral:lncRNA from 1 species
AUGCCUCAUGAAACCACUCCCCAGUAAACCUUCUGCACAGAAAUCUCCAUCUCAGGUCUGUGCCCUGGGGAACACAACAAAGACAUUAACAUCGGCAGAAAUCUGCUUUGGAAACUCUUUCUAUUCAGCUAGUAGCCAGCAAGCGUUUAUUGAACUCCAGGCCAAGCUUCCUGCUGACCAGCUCAAGCAGUGGUGACAGCCAGAGCCAUAGCCUCCUCCUGGAACUUCUGAAAUAAAGAAGGUCACAGAUGUUCUCUGCAGGUCACACCCUGGAAAUUCACUCUAUACUGGCU